UCCGGUCCCGUGCUGUGGUACUGUAAUCAUAUGAUAGGCAGUAGACCUCCGCCGCAGAAUACCGAUACACCGACGGACAGCGGACGAUUCGGUGCGGAGGACAAACUGUCGAUAGAUUUCAGUCGUAAAAGAAGCGCGUGCGGUGCGUUCAAGUGUGCAGCGGGAGAAACGGAGCAAAAGUCCCCCGAAACGGAACUUUUCCCAAACUCCGGAGGGAGUGGGACAGAGGGUCAUAUUCCGCACCCAGACGACCAGACAGAACAACUGGACCCGGUUCAAGACUUCCAUUUUUCCCCCUCUCUCUUUCUUUCUUUUGAGUGGGCUUGUUUUAUAUUGUUCCUGCUGUUGUCAGUGAGGCGUUGAGCGGCUUGAAUCCCGCGGGGUUCUCGCGUCGCUUCGGGGAACAGCUUCAUUCCCCACUUUGAUUAUUUAUUUAUUUUCCUCCCUCUUCGGGUAACGUUUUGGUCAGUUUACUGUGGCAGAAAAAGCAAUGGUCGGAGAGACAGAGGUGAAGGAGAGACCGAAGUCCAACCCGGACUAUCUAAUGCAGCUGAUGAAUGACAGGAAGGUGAUGAGUUCACUGCCCAACUUCAGCGGCAUCUUCACGCAUCUGGAGCGGCUGCUGGAUGAAGAAAUCGGCCGGGUACGCAAAGACAUGUACAACGAUACACUGAAUGGUGGCAUGUUCAACGGCCGUGACUUAGAGGAGCUUCCUGAAGCUGUUGGUCCUGUGGCUCAGCUCCAGGAGAAGCUGUACGUGCCUGUCAAAGAGUACCCCGACUUCAAUUUCGUUGGGAGAAUCCUGGGCCCACGUGGACUGACGGCCAAACAACUGGAGGCCGAGACAGGCUGCAAGAUCAUGGUGCGCGGAAAGGGCUCCAUGAGGGACAAGAAGAAGGAGGAGAUGAACAGAGGGAAACCCAACUGGGAGCAUCUCAGCGAGGACCUCCACGUCCUGAUCACAGUGGAGGACACGCACAACCGGGCUAAGAUCAAGCUGCAGCGAGCCAUCAACGAGGUCAAGAAGCUUCUCGUACCCGCGGCUGAGGGGGAGGAUAACCUGAAGAAAAUGCAGCUGAUGGAGCUGGCCAUUCUCAACGGAACUUACAGAGACGCCAAUGUCAAGAUGCCCACUGCCACCUUCCAACUGGCGACUCCUCAGGCGCCUCGAAUCAUCACAGGUCCGACGCCCGUGCUGCCUCCGACCCUGCGGGCACCCGCUCCCGUCACCACGCCAACCAUCAUGCCUCUGAUUCGUCAGAUCCAGAGCGCCGCCCUCAUGCCAGGAGCCAGUCCUCACCCAGCGCUUGUGCAGCAAGCGCCUGAAUCUGGAAUUAUCUACACACCCUACGAAUAUCCCUACACACUCGCACCAUCCAUACUGGAAUACCCAAUUGACUCAACUGGAGUGUUAGGUAUGGCUUUCCCAACCAAAGGCUAACGCGAUAGCAACUCCUCCUAGCACACAUGGACUGGCUUGCAGAGACCCCUACAUACUUGUGCUACAGCGCAAACAGCACAAAGUUUGCUCUGACUAUAGGAUGACAGAUUCCUGCUACAGUCAUUCUGUAGUUGUAUCCAUUCCUACGCUCAUUAGAUGCUCAUUACUACUGUUAAUUUUUUUCCUGUGUAUUAGCACACUUGCAGACUUGUGUUGUUGUGUGACUGAAUAACCUAUUUAACGUUUUAAAUAGUUCAGCUUCCGCUUGUAAUUUUAACCUGUUGUAGCGAAGCUGUAGAUGUUUUAGCACCGCUGUUUGUAAGCUUAUUUUGAACACAGAGCUCUAGAGCGAUCUUGGUUGAUUAUACUAGUUCAAUAUAGAGGAUGAAUUAGCGGUUUGGAUUAAUUUACUUUAGAGAUCAGUGAAAUGUGUCUUUUAGAAAUGUGUUACUAUACUUAUUUUCACCUUUGUAAGUUCCUGCUUUCACUGAUGUCGGUGCCAUGGGCAGACUGUUUGACGUCUCUGACUAGUAACCUUCUGUGUUCUGUUUUGGCGUCACCGCGCUGCUAGCAGGUGCCAUGACCGCUAAGGUACGACGCCAUGAGAAGAGAAUCCAUCCGUACCAAAGGGUAGUGACCACAGACAGAGCUGCCACGGCAACUAACCCAUGACCCUUGACCUUCUGACCUUUCCGCCCACUGAUGACCCACCCAUCUCUUCCUGCUGGCGUGUUCAUUGGCCCACGGCCCCGCCACUCCCCCAGCUCAGCCACCCAGAGACCAGCACAUUGGGAACAACCCGGCCUCUUCCGUCUAACCAACCAAGCAAGUGGACGACAGCAAUCUUGGGAAUAAACCUCAGGACCUGCCAAUCACCAAGUUCGAACCAAACGUGCCUUCCUUCCAAAAGCCCAAAGCUAGUUUAGGAACCCUUUGUGAUCAUUUCACAUCUCCAGGUCCAGUCCAGAGUAGUUGUUGCACUGCAUAACCACUAGACUUUUUCAGGCAAAGGGCUCGCCAACCCCGACAGUGCCAAACUGUUUAUACGCUGCCCCGGUGUAACGGCCCAGCUAAACUCUCCCAGCUCCCCGCACUUCAUACAAUGCAAUAAUAAUGACUAUUAAUGGUGUGGUAACUACACUGCUAAUAUUUCUAAUCAUCCACCACAAACAUGUUUCAUGAACACUAAACUAAAAGCAACAUCUUGAUAUUUUGAAUGGAUUAUUUUUGUUCAGCAGGCACCUCUUAACUCGACAAGUUUUUGCUUCUGGGCUAUUUCACGUUACCGUCGUCUCAUCUCGGACCACACUUAGUUGUGUUUUUUAUCUGGGACACUUUUUCGCACUGAUACGAAGACGGUUUUCACUUUGCUAGAGUAGCAUAGCAUGUUAUCCCUCACGUGAGACGAUACGUAUAUCGCAAAAGGUACCGAUUACCCGAGCUUCCUGUGUGUUGAAAUUUGACCGCGAUUCUUUGUACAAUCCUUCGUACAAAUUCAAUCAGUCAUCUUCUUUCAACCUGCUGUCCGGAUUUAAGAGGCCUGCACGUGACAGUGUCCCACAGUUCUUUGCAUCAGCCCGAACUGGUGCAGACGUGCUGUCGCGCAGAAGUAAAAACUAACCCUUGGUGUGGGAAACAUUUCUCUGUGAUAGUGAACAGGAACUGUGUCCUUUUAUCACAUGUGUGUUUCUACUCAUUUCAUUGUAUAUUUUAACACUUAACAUGUAAAACGUCGGAUAACAGCGUGUUGCAUUUACAAAACAAAACAGUGUUUUUGUGUUUGGGCUCGCUGUUUUACACCACAAUGAUUCUGAAGCAUCCCUUAAAGUUACGUUUGAUACCAACUUGGGAGCAUUAUUCCCUCUCCUACAUGAAUCAUUUCAAGGAGAAAUGCUAAAAAUUCAUUCGGUUAAAGGAAAUGUGACUGGAAAAGGUUUUUCACAGUCAACUGUGAGGUGGUCAAGUGAGGAAACAUAACAGAUGUCCAAAAUGCCAAAA